rnacentral:rRNA from 1 species
AUUGAACGCUGGCGGCAGGCUUAACACAUGCAAGUCGAACGAGUGGCGGACGGGUGAGUAAUGCUUGGGAAUCUGGCUUAUGGAGGGGGAUAACGACGGGAAACUGUCGCUAAUACCGCGUACCAUAGGAUGAGCCCAAGUGGGAUUAGGUAGUUGGUGGGGUAACGGCUCACCUAAGCGACGAUCCCUAGCUGGUCUGAGAGGAUGACCAGCCACACUGGAACUGAGACAAGGUCCAGACUCCGACGGGAGGCAGCAGGGGGGAAUAUGGCACAGUGGGCGCAAGCCUGAUGCAGCCAUGCCGCGUGUGUGAAGAAGGCCUUCGGGUUGUAAAGCACUAUCAGCGGGGAGGCGUUACCCGCAGAAGAAGCACCGGCUAACUCCGUACCAGCAGCCGCGGUAAUAC